AGAGUUUGAUCCUGGCUCAGAUUGAACGCUGGCGGCAGGCCUAACACAUGCAAGUCGAGCGAGAAAGCACUUCGGUGUGAGUACAGCGGCGGACGGGUGAGUAACGCGUGGGAAUCUGCCUAGUAGUGGGGGACAACUCGGGGAAACUCGAGCUAAUACCGCAUACGUCCUACGGGAGAAAGGGGGCUUCGGCUCUCGCUAUUAGAUGAGCCCGCGUUAGAUUAGCUUGUUGGUGAGGUAAAGGCUCACCAAGGCGACGAUCUAUAGCUGGUCUGAGAGGAUGAUCAGCCACAUCGGGACUGAGACACGGCCCGAACUCCUACGGGAGGCAGCAGUGGGGAAUAUUGGACAAUGGGCGAAAGCCUGAUCCAGCCAUGCCGCGUGUGUGAAGAAGGCUCUAGGGUUGUAAAGCACUUUCAAUAGGGAGGAAAAGUUAGUAGUUAAUACCUGCUAACCCUGACGUUACCUAUAGAAGAAGCACCGGCAAACUCCGUGCCAGCAGCCGCGGUAAUUC
rnacentral:rRNA from 1 species